CCAGCGAACUUGGCAGAGAUGCCUUGGUGCCUUCGGGAACGCUGAGACAGGUGCUGCAUGGCUGUCGUCAGCUCGUGCUGUGAAAUGUUGGGUUAAGUCCCGCAACGAGCGCAACCCUUUAUCCUUUGUUGCCAGCGAUUCGGUCGGGAACUCAAAGGAGACUGCCGGUGAUAAACCGGAGGAAGGUGGGGAUGACGUCAAGUCAUCAUGGCCCUUACGAGUAGGGCUACACACGUGCUACAAUGGCGCAUACAAAGAGAAGCGACCUCGCGAGAGCAAGCGGACCUCAUAAAGUGCGUCGUAGUCCGGAUCGGAGUCUGCAACUCGACUCCGUGAAGUCGGAAUCGCUAGUAAUCGUGGAUCAGAAUGCCACGGUGAAUACGUUCCCGGGCCUUGUACACACCGCCCGUCACACCAUGGGAGUGGGUUGCAAAAGAAGUAGGUAGCUUAACCUCCGGGAGGGCGCUUACCACUUUGUGAUUCAUGACUGGGGUGAAGUCGUAACAAGGUAAGCGUAGCGAG
rnacentral:rRNA from 1 species